UACAGAGGGGGCAAGCGUUGUUCGGAAUUACUGGGCGUAAAGGGCGCGUAGGCGGCCCGCUAAGUCGAACGUGAAAUCCCCGAGCUCAACUCGGGAACUGCGUCUGAUACUGGAUGGCUUGAAUUCGGGAGAGGGAUGCAGAAUUCCAGGUGUAGCGGUGAAAUGCGUAGAUAUCUGGAGGAAUACCGGUGGCGAAGGCGGCAUCCUGGACCGAGAUUGACACUGAGGAGCGAAAGCCAGGGGAGCAAACGGG
rnacentral:rRNA from 1 species